AACGAACGCUGGCGGCAUGCCUAACACAUGCAAGUCGAACGAGACCUUCGGGUCUAGUUGCGCACGGGUGCGUAACGCGUGGGAACCUGCCCUUAGUUUCGGAAUAACUCCCCGAACGUGGUUCUAAUACCGGAUAAUGUCUUCGGACCAAAGGUUUAUCUCCUUGUGAUGGGCGCGGGUUGGAUUAUCUAGUUGGAAGGUUAAAAGCCUACCAAGGCGACGAUCCAUAGCUGGUCAGAGAGGAUGAUCAGCAACACUGGGACUGAGACACGGGCCAGACGCAAACGAGAGGGAGCAGUGGGGGAUAUUGGAAAAUGGGAGAGAGGCGGAACCAGCGAUGCGGUGUGGGUGAUAAAGGCCUGAGGGUUGUGAAGAAAUUUUAACCGGGAGGAAAAUGACAGUACCGGGAGAAUAAGCCCCGGCUAACUACGUG
rnacentral:rRNA from 1 species